GCCACUUUAGCUCAGCGGUAGAGCAGCGCAUUCGUAACGCGCAGGUCAACAGUUCAAAUCUGUUAAGUGGCU
rnacentral:tRNA from 1 species